rnacentral:rRNA from 1 species
AAUGAACGCUGGCGGCAUGCCUAACACAUGCAAGUCGAACGAAGGCCCGAUUUCGGUUGGGUCCUUAGUGGCGCACGGGUGCGUAACGCGUGGGAAUCUGCCCCUUGGUUCGGAAUAACAGUUAGAAAUGACUGCUAAUACCAGAUGAUGACGUAAGUCCAAAGAUUUAUCGCCGAGGGAUGAGCCCGCGUAGGAUUAGCUAGUUGGUGUGGUAAGAGCGCACCAAGGCGACGAUCCUUAGCUGGUCUGAGAGGAUGAUCAGCCACACUGGGACUGAGACACAGCCCAGACUCCUACGGGAGGCAGCAGUGGGGAAUAUUGGACAAUGGGCGAAAGCCUGAUCCAGCAAUGCCGCGUGAGUGAUGAAGGCCUUAGGGUUGUAAAGCUCUUUUACCCGGGAUGAUAAUGACAGUACCGGGAGAAUAAGCUCCGGCUAACUCCGUGCCAGCAGCCGCGGUAAUACGGAGGGAGCUAGCGUUAUUCGGAAUUACUGGGCGUAAAGCGCACGUAGGCGGCUUUGUAAGUAAGAGGUGAAAGCCCAGAGCUCAACUCUGGAAUUGCCUUUUAGACUGCAUCGCUUGAAUCAUGGAGAGGUCAGUGGAAUUCCGAGUGUAGAGGUGAAAUUCGUAGAUAUUCGGAAGAACACCAGUGGCGAAGGCGGCUGACUGGACAUGUAUUGACGCUGAGGUGCGAAAGCGUGGGGAGCAAACAGGAUUAGAUACCCUGAUAGUCCACGCCGUAAACGAUGAUAACUAGCUGUCCGGGGACUUGGUCCUUGGGUGGCGCAGCUAACGCAUUAAGUUAUCCGCCUGGGGAGUACGGCCGCAAGGUUAAACUCAAAUGAAUUGACGGGGGCCUG